GAAAUACUCCUUCUGUUCGGAAAUACUUGUCGGAGAAAUGGAUGAAAAUGAGUGUAUCUAGAACUAAAUUGCAUCUAGAUACAUCCAUUCCUCCGAUAAGUAUUUUCGGACGGAGGGAGUAGAAA
rfam:Triticum aestivum genome assembly, contig: Triticum_aestivum_CS42_TGACv1_scaffold_641534_T_2AL-0.215311_3AL-0.132297